rnacentral:precursor_RNA from 12 species
UCAUCUCACCUGAUCAUGAUUGGUGUAUUCCAAGGUACCUGAGGUCCUCUUAUUUUAUUUUGGCUGUAAGAGGCUCCAGCUCCCUUUGUCUACCCCAGUAUAAAACUCCAGCAUCACUA